UACAGAGGUGGCAAGCGUUGUUCGGAAUUACUGGGCGUAAAGGGCGCGUAGGCGGCCUCGCAAGUCCCGUGUGAAAUCCCUCGGCUCAACUGAGGAAUGGCACGGGAAACUGCGGGGCUUGAGUUCGGGAGAGGGAAGCGGAAUUCCGGGUGUAGCGGUGAAAUGCGUAGAUAUCCGGAGGAACACCGGUGGCGAAGGCGGCUUCCUGGACCGAUACUGACGCUGAGGCGCGAAAGCUAGGGUAGCAAACGGG
rnacentral:rRNA from 1 species